GUUUUGAUUUCUACAUUAAAAUUGCAUCGGUCUUAAAGUAGUGUCUGCACCACUUUUGACCCAUAGGGGGCACCAACCUCAUUGUUGAUGUUUAUUGAACACUUACUUUGCCGUCAAGCACUAGUGGGUAUUGCUUCAAUUACGUCUUUGAGGAGUCCUUAUAGAAAUUGCCCUUGGUUACAGAGCUAGUAAAAGACAAACCUGGGACUUGAAGCCACACUUAUCUGAUACAGAAGUCCUGAUUCUAUUCCUUUUGCUCUUUUUCAGCCUGCACCCAAUUUCCUUGAGGGUUUGAUUCUUUUUCUUAACAACUUUGCCUGCCUUACUCCUUCCUAGAGCUUGCCAGGCCAGACUGUGUGUCUUGUGUUGAGCUCAGAUAACAUCGACCCGAGAGGGAAGUUCCCGGAUGAUAGACACAUGGAACCAGGUAGCAGAAGCAAGAAAUGAUGCCCUUCAGCAGAGGGCGUGCUGUGUCCUCUCAGAACUCAAAGGAGGUGCUUCUGCAGGGUGGAUGGUGGGUUCAGGGGGGUCCUCAAAGGCUUUAAUGCCAUUGGACUGGUAGUGGCCUGCCAGACGAGGGGGAGGAAGAAACGGAUUUGCAAAUGUUAACAAGAAAAGAGAAAAAAGAAGAGCCAAGGAAAUGAAGAAAACAAAGGCCUGUUUGUCCUGCACUCCAAGGUGACUUUCCAGGUCGCCAAGAAGCAUGAGAGUGCAGAGGGGUUCUGGGCGUCGUGGGCUCUGUGUUUGCCACUCUGCGUCCUCCCUGUGUGGAGCCAGGCUGCUCAGUGUCUGGCUUCAACUCCCUGGGACCUCAAACAGUUUUUUGGUGUGCUGUGUCCUGAAACCACAGUGAAGACGUUCACUUGAGGCAGUUUGGGGAUGGGCAUUGGACAAUCAGUUGAGUGCCCCAUCACAGGAGACCAUGCAGCAGGGACA
rnacentral:lncRNA from 1 species